ACGGUAUUACCUCUGGCGACCACCAGAGGACAAUAAUUCAAAUAUUGAUCGCCGAAUUGAAUGGAACGCACGGCCAUUUUCACCAAGCCGCAGUGGAACGCACGGAAGUGCGCCGAACCGGAAGUAAAGUCCGGAAAGAAAAUCUUACCGCAAAAAAAGAUUACAUGAAAUAGAAACAGCUGGGACACCUUUCAACUGUUGAUAGGAAGUCCAAUCAGAAGAGGAUUAUGCACCAACGCCCACCACACCACCAAUGGACUCCCAGCUUGAACAUAUUUAAGGGUUUGAGGGGGAGGGGGA